rnacentral:rRNA from 1 species
GACGAACGCUGGCGGCGUGCUUAACACAUGCAAGUCGAACGGAAAGGCCCUGCUUUUGUGGGGUGCUCGAGUGGCGAACGGGUGAGUAACACGUGAGUAACCUGCCCUUGACUUUGGGAUAACUUCAGGAAACUGGGGCUAAUACCGGAUAGGAGCUCCUGCUGCAUGGUGGGGGUUGGAAAGUUUCGGCGGUUGGGGAUGGACUCGCGGCUUAUCAGCUUGUUGGUGGGGUAGUGGCUUACCAAGGCUUUGACGGGUAGCCGGCCUGAGAGGGUGACCGGCCACAUUGGGACUGAGAUACGGCCCAGACUCCUACGGGAGGCAGCAGUGGGGAAUAUUGCACAAUGGGCGGAAGCCUGAUGCAGCAACGCCGCGUGCGGGAUGACGGCCUUCGGGUUGUAAACCGCUUUCGCCUGUGACGAAGCGUGAGUGACGGUAAUGGGUAAAGAAGCACCGGCUAACUACGUGCCAGCAGCCGCGGUGAUACGUAGGGUGCGAGCGUUGUCCGGAUUUAUUGGGCGUAAAGGGCUCGUAGGUGGUUGAUCGCGUCGGAAGUGUAAUCUUGGGGCUUAACCCUGAGCGUGCUUUCGAUACGGGUUGACUUGAGGAAGGUAGGGGAGAAUGGAAUUCCUGGUGGAGCGGGGGAAUGCGCAGAUAUCAGGAGGAACACCAGUGGCGAAGGCGGUUCUCUGGGCCUUUCCUGACGCUGAGGAGCGAAAGCGUGGGGAGCGAACAGGCUUAGAUACCCUGGUAGUCCACGCUGUAAACGGUGGGUACUAGGUGUGGGGUCCAUUCCACGGGUUCCGUGCCGUAGCUAACGCUUUAAGUACCCCGCCUGGGGAGUACGGCCGCAAGGCUAAAACUCAAAGGAAUUGACGGGGCCCCGCACAAGCGGCGGAGCAUGCGGAUUAAUUCGAUGCAACGCGUAGAACCUUACCUGGGUUUGACAUGGAUCGGGAGUGCUCAGAGAUGGGUGUGCCUCUUUUGGGGUCGGUUCACAGGUGGUGCAUGGCUGUCGUCAGCUCGUGUCGUGAGAUGUUGGGUUAAGUCCCGCAACGAGCGCAACCCUUGUUCACUGUUGCCAGCACGUUAUGGUGGGGACUCAGUGGAGACCGCCGGGGUCAACUCGGAGGAAGGUGGGGAUGACGUCAAGUCAUCAUGCCCCUUAUGUCCAGGGCUUCACGCAUGCUACAAUGGCUGGUACAGAGAGUGGCGAGCCUGUGAGGGUGAGCGAAUCUCGGAAAGCCGGUCUCAGUUCGGAUUGGGGUCUGCAACUCGACCUCAUGAAGUCGGAGUCGCUAGUAAUCGCAGAUCAGCAACGCUGCGGUGAAUACGUUCCCGGG